AUAGGGGACCUCGAGUGCCAGGUUACAAAUCUGGCUGUCGUGAUGCCUAAAAAGCAUUGCAUAGCAAGGGCCGGGCAAGACCGGUGCCAGCCGCCGCGGUAACACCGGCGGCUCGAGUGGUAACCGUUAUUAUUGGGUCUAAAGGGUCUGUAGCCGGCCGGGUAAGUCUCUUGGGAAAUCUGGCAGCUUAACUGUCAGGCUUUCAGGAGAUACUGUCCGGCUCGAGGCCGGGAGAGGUGAGAGGUACUUCAGGGGUAGGGGUGAAAUCUUGUAAUCCUUGAAGGACCACCAGUGGCGAAGGCGUCUCACCAGAACGGACCUGACGGCAAGGGACGAAAGCUAGGGGCACGAACCGGAUUAGAUACCCGGGUAGUCCUAGCCGUAAACGAUACUCGCUAGGUGUCGGCAACGGUGCGACCGUUGUCGGUGCCGUAGGGAAGCCGUGAAGCGAGCCACCUGGGAAGUACGGCCGCAAGGCUGAAACUUAAAGGAAUUGGCGGGGGAGCACCACAACGGGUGGAGCUUGCGGUUUAAUUGGAUUCAACGCCGGAAAUCUUACCGGGACCGACAGCAAUAUGAAGGCCAGGCUGAAGACUUUGCCGGAUUAGCUGAGAGGUGGUGCAUGGCCGUCGUCAGUUCGUACUGUGAAGCAUCCUGUUAAGUCAGGCAACGAGCGAGACCCACGCCCACAGUUGCCAGCGUACUCUCCGGAGUGACGGGUACACUGUGGG
rnacentral:rRNA from 1 species